rnacentral:rRNA from 1 species
UACGAACUGUGCAAACGUUAUUCGGAAUCACUGGGCUUAAAGGGUGCGUAGGCGGCGAUUUAAGUAGGGUGUGAAAGCCCCCGGCUCAACCGGGGAACUGCGCUCUAAACUGGAUCGCUCGAGUGAGAUAGGGGUGUGUGGAACUUCCGGUGGAGCGGUGAAAUGCGUAGAUAUCGGAAGGAACACCGGUGGCGAAAGCGGCGUGCUGGAUUCCUACUGACGCUGAGGCACGAAAGCCAGGGGAGCAAACGGG